GACACUCUGCCGUCUGCACCGGAGAGAAAAAGCAGGGAACCCCUAGGAGCCCCCAGACUGGUGCAUGUGACUCUGGAUCCAGACACGGCUCAUCCCAUCCUCGUCCUGUCUGAGGAUCGGAAAAGUGUGAGACGGAGAGACAGACGGCAGCGACUGCCUGACAACCCUGAGAGAUUUGACACUGUGUUCUGUGUGCUGGGCUGUGAGGGAUUCACCUCGGGGAGACAUUGCUGGGAGGUGGAAGUGGGGGAUGAGGAGUUCUGGGCUGUGGGGGUGGCCAGAGAGUCUGUGGGGAGGAAGGGAUGGAUCAGCCCUAGCCCUAAGGGGGGGAUCUGGGCUGUGGAGCAGUGCUGGGGUCGGUUGCAGGCUUUCACCUCCCCUCGCACCCGCCUGCCCCUGAUCUGGGCCUCCAGCAGGAUCCGGGUUUGUCUGGACUGUGACCGGGGGCAGGUGACAUUUAUCGAUGCUGGUGACGGGGCCCCGAUCUUCACUUUCCCGCCAGGCUCCGUCCCUGGGGAGAGAAUCCGACCCUGGUUCUGGGUGGGGCGGGGAUCCCGGCUCAGCCUGUGUCCCUGAGACACGCAGCAGAGGCAGGAACCGGAAAUCAGCCUCUCUAGCCUGAGGGACCCCAGUCUCUAUGACCUUGGAGGACUCCCAUCUACCCAGCCCUCAGCACCUCAUCUAUGUCCCCUGCAAGAUCCUCCCCCUCCCCCUCUGGGGCUGCCGGUUGGGCAGAGAUGGGGGGCUGGGUAGAGGGCAAAACUAACAGCUGGGAUGGGGGUGGGAGGGACACAGCAUGAAUCAAUCAGGGUUCGGGGGGUUGGGGAGAAGCAGCAGCAGCGGGGAGCGUUUUGUACAGAUCUGUGGGAUUAGAUCUCACCAGGAUCAGGGCCGGCUCUAACAUUUUUGCCGCCCCAAGCAAAAAAAAAAUAGCACCGCCCGACCUCUCCCUGAGCGUCAUACUGCCCGAGUCCCCGCAGCCCCCAGCGCCACGUCGGGCCACCCAACUCCCCGCCCCCCCCCCCCCGAGCAUCGCGUCGGGCCGCCCAAGUCGUCGUCCCCCCCCCAGUGCCGCCUGGCCAAACCACAAACAACAAAAACAAACCCCGAUUGCCACCCCCUCCCGAAGUGCCGCCCCAGGCACGUGCUUGGUAGGCUGGUGCCUGGAGUUGGCCCUGCCCAGGAUCAGCACGAGGGGAAGGGGUAAGAUCAGGGAAAGAAGAGAGCAGCCGAGGGGGAUGAUCUGUGACAGGGGGGAGAGACACAGGGAAAUAAAGAGGGAUGGAAAGUGGGGCUAGAACAAUGAUGACUAGAAAAGGACAGUACGAAAGGAAAGGGAAUGUGAGCGGGACGGGGAGAUUUAUUACAUGUUACUGAAAGUGAGACUGUAACUCAUUAAUUCCCUAUAUUAAUUCCUGGCCAUUGGUGCAAUUUUAGUGCCAUAAAGAAAACUGUUCUCAGUAGCUGGGGAUCUCCUGGCCGUGCUGCAGUUAUUAAGGCUCCUUCUCAGCUCCUUUUACUUUGCUACUUUCCAGCUACUUACUGUAAAUAAAACAUUACAAACAAU